CUGAGGAGCGAAAGCAUGGGGAGCGAACAGGAUUAGAUACCCUGGUAGUCCAUGCCGUAAACGUUGGGCACUAGGUGUGGGGGACAUUCCACGUUUUCCGCGCCGUAGCUAACGCAUUAAGUGCCCCGCCUGGGGAGUACGGCCGCAAGGCUAAAACUCAAAGGAAUCGACGGGGGCCCGCACAAGCGGCGGAGCAUGCGGAUUAAUUCGAUGCAACGCGAAGAACCUUACCAAGGCUUGACAUGAACCGGAAACGUCUGGAAACAGGCGCCCCACUUGUGGUCGGUUUACAGGUGGUGCAUGGUUGUCGUCAGCUCGUGUCGUGAGAUGUUGGGUUAAGUCCCGCAACGAGCGCAACCCUCGUUCCAUGUUGCCAGCGCGUUAGGGCGGGGACUCAUGGGAGACUGCCGGGGUCAACUCGGAGGAAGGUGGGGACGACGUCAAAUCAUCAUGCCCCUUAUGUCUUGGGCUUCACGCAUGCUACAAUGGCCGGUACAAAGGGUUGCGAUACUGUGAGGUGGAGCUAAUCCCAAAAAGCCGGUCUCAGUUCGG
rnacentral:rRNA from 1 species